AGAUGAGCAUGGGGCGAUGAUGGUGACGAUGAUGAUGGUGAUAUUUCAUGGAUUAUUAUCGUCCUCGCCGUCGUCGUCGUCAUUGUCGUCAUUA
rnacentral:pre_miRNA from 1 species